GCAGGUCUGGGGAGGCUGCAGUGUUGCAGUCGGCUGCUUUAGCCAGCUUGUGGGAAUGACCCCUCCCUGGCCCGUUAGAGGGUGCAGGUUGAGGUGCUGCUUGAAGGUGGGGUGACCUCCCCGCUGUGUGGGUCGAGGUUGCUCCCUGGGUUCCCGAAGAUGUGGUGUCGUGGUGCAGCCGGGCGGGCCGGCCCGUCCCUCGGGCGCUGGCGGGAGCUGUGUGCUCCGUGGGGCAUUUUUGGAGAUGGUGAGGCGUGGGGUGCCGUCCUGUAGGCAGGGCUGCGUGUGCCCCCUGUUCUUGGGGAGAUGUGUUCUGAGGAACCCCCUGUACUCAGGUGGGUAUCUCUGGCCCCGUCCUUUCAGAGGCGUUGGGCUGUGAGGUGUGGGGCUGGGCUUGGUCCCUUUGUGGACUCGGGGCUUGGAUCCCGAGCGCGGCCUUUGGCCGUGCUGCCCCGCUGCCUGGCUGCUGAGAGUCGUUCCCGCUGCUGUGGGGGAAACCGAGCUCCGUGGCUCCGUGGGUGUCGUCGGCCCGCCUGUAAUCAGGGUCAGGGUGUGGGAGCCUUUGUGCUCUGGUGGCAGCCUGUGUGGGGUGACCGCCCUGUUAGCGGGGUGCAGGUCAAGGUGCCCCCGACCGGGAGUGAAGGAGCCUCCCUCAGCCUUUGGGACCACGGCUGCCCUGUAAGUAAGGGCCUGGCGCUGGAGUCCCAGGCGCUUUGCAAUGGAAGCGGCGGCUGGGGCCCCCCUGUAAGCGGGGGUGGAGCCGACUCUUUGUCCGCCGCUUUGCGUGCCCAGCUCCCUUUGCCCAGGCAGCCCGACUCUGCGCCCUGCUGCAGCGCCGGAUGGACCUCUGCGGCGUGUCGGUGUGGACCUGCUGGUGAAGAAAGAAGCAGCGGGAUGUGGAGCUCCGAGGCAAGCGUGAGGAAGAAGAGGAAGGAAGACGACGACUACGGAGGGGGCAAAGGGAGAGGCUCCCUGGGCAAAAGCAUGUCACAUAACUGUAGAGCGCUGCCGGCCCCUUGGGUAACCAGGCCGGCUUUGUGCUGGGCGACCUCCCUGCAACCAGGGCUCGGGUCUUUUCUUUUGCUGUAGUUGGCCUUUUGCCUUGUUGCUCCUUUUGGCUGCCCGGGGAGUGUGGCCCCCUGUACGGAGGGCGAGAGCCACUUCUCCGCACCUGAGUGGGAAACGGAGCUCGCUGGACCCCGAGGGCCCCCUGUAAGCAGGGUAGCGCCCUUUCCCUGCCACUCUCGGUCCCGCCGCUCGGCACGGUUGCCUGCUGGUGACCUCCAGCGUGACGGCCCUGUACUCGGGGCUGUGUGUCACCGCCACUUGUCCCUUGGCCACCUGGGAAGCCCCUUGGCACGUUGAGGCCCGUGGCCUCCGUGCAGCCUGGGGGCGGGUCAGAGGCUCUUGUCUGCUGCUCGUGGGUUUUUAGUUUUUUUGCCCGGGUUUUUUUUUCUGCGCAGCGUUCUCCUUCCCUUCUGGAAAGUUGUACCUGUGUGUUUGCGUCCCCUUCCUUUCCUUGCUUGCGUUUGCGUGGGUGACAAGAGAGAGUGAGCUUUUCCUUCAGGCCUCCCUGAAAAUAGCUGCAGCCAAGCUUAGGCUUCCCAGGGGGGAACGGAGGACUCGAUGCGUGCAGCAAGCGGGGUGUUCCCGCUCAGUCCCACGAGUGGAGCGAGUGUCCUCGUGUCUUGCCCCUUUUUAUUUUUUUAUUUCUGAGGGCAGAGCAGAGCUAGCGCGGUAGUUCUGAGGCUGAGGCCGCCCUGUAGCCAGGGCUUGGGUCCGUGCCUGCGCGGCCGCCUGUCCUGCUGGCGAUGUGUCAGCGUGGCAGCCCUGUACUCGGGGUGUGUGUCACGAUCCCUGGGAAGCUCCCUGUCUGUCCCCAGAGCAGCCCGCCCUCCUGUAAGCAGGUCUGGGGAGGCUGCAGUGUUGCAGUCGGCUGCUUUAGCCAGCUUGUGGGAAUGACCCCUCCCUGGCCCGUUAGAGGGUGCAGGUUGAGGUGCUGCUUGAAGGUGGGGUGACCUCCCCGCUGUGUGGGUCGAGGUUGCUCCCUGGGUUCCCGAAGAUGUGGUGUCGUGGUGCAGCCGGGCGGGCCGGCCCGUCCCUCGGGCGCUGGCGGGAGCUGUGUGCUCCGUGGGGCAUUUUUGGAGAUGGUGAGGCGUGGGGUGCCGUCCUGUAGGCAGGGCUGCGUGUGCCCCCUGUUCUUGGGGAGGUGUGUUCUGAGGAACCCCCUGUACUCAGGUGGGUAUCUCUGGCCCCGUCCUUUCAGAGGCGUUGGGCUGUGAGGUGUGGGGCUGGGCUUGGUCCCUUUGUGGACUCGGGGCUUGGAUCCCGAGCGCGGCCUUUGGCCGUGCUGCCCCGCUGCCUGGCUGCUGAGAGUCGUUCCCGCUGCUGUGGGGGAAACCGAGCUCCGUGGCUCCGUGGGUGUCGUCGGCCCGCCUGUAAUCAGGGUCAGGGUGUGGGAGCCUUUGUGCUCUGGUGGCAGCCUGUGUGGGGUGACCGCCCUGUUAGCGGGGUGCAGGUCAAGGUGCCCCCGACCGGGAGUGAAGGAGCCUCCCUCAGCCUUUGGGACCACGGCUGCCCUCUCCCUUUGCCCAGGCAGCCCGACUCUGCGCCCUGCUGCAGCGCCGGAUGGACCUCUGCGGCGUGUCGGUGUGGACCUGCUGGUGAAGAAAGAAGCAGCGGGAUGUGGAGCUCCGAGGCAAGCGUGAGGAAGAAGAGGAAGGAAGAUGACGACUACGGAGGGGCAAAGGGAGAGGCUCCCUGGGCAAAAGCAUGUCACAUAACUGUAGAGCGCUGCCGGCCCCUUGGGUAACCAGGCCGGCUUUGUGCUGGGCGACCUCCCUGCAACCAGGGCUCGGGUCUUUUCUUUUGCUGUAGUUGGCCUUUUGCCUUGUUGCUCCUUUUGGCUGCCCGGGGAGUGUGGCCCCCUGUACGGAGGGCGAGAGCCACUUCUCCGCACCUGAGUGGGAAACGGAGCUCGCUGGACCCCGAGGGCCCCCUGUAAGCAGGGUAGCGCCCUUUCCCUGCCACUCUCGGUCCUGCCGCUCGGCACGGUUGCCUGCUGGUGACCUCCAGCGUGACGGCCCUGUACUCGGGGCUGUGUGUCACCGCCACUUGUCCCUUGGCCACCUGGGAGAACCACUUCUUCGCUCCUGAGUAGGAAACAGCUGACUGGAGGCGUGUAGCGAGCUGGUUGUUUCUGCUCUAUCUCUCGGUAUGUGGAUCUGUGUUGCAUGGUUCAGUGUGGAGGGGGUGUAGACAUUUGUUAUCAAUUUUUCUUUUCCAUAUUUUCGAUUGCAUGUAUUUUCUCCAGGUGUGUAAUUCUCCAAAACCAUGCGGCUGCUUUGCAGCUGUUAUUUAUCUGCUUUCUUUAAUUUAUGUGUUGUAUGUUUUUGGCUUUUAUCUAGAGCUUGUGAGUGUUGAGU